rnacentral:rRNA from 1 species
GACGAACGCUGGCGGCGUGCUUAACACAUGCAAGUCGAACGGAAAGGCCCUGCUUUUGUGGGGUGCUCGAGUGGCGAACGGGUGAGUAACACGUGAGUAACCUGCCCUUGACUUUGGGAUAACUCCAGGAAACUGGGGCUAAUACCGGAUAGGAGCUCCUGCUGCAUGGUGGGGGUUGGAAAGUUUCGGCGGUGGGGGAUGGACUCGCGGCCUAUCAGCUUGUUGGUGGGGUAGUGGCUUACCAAGGCUUUGACGGGUAGCCGGCCUGAGAGGGUGACCGGCCACAUUGGGACUGAGAUACGGCCCAGACUCCUACGGGAGGCAGCAGUGGGGAAUAUUGCACAAUGGGCGGAAGCCUGAUGCAGCAACGCCGCGUGCGGGAUGACGGCCUUCGGGUUGUAAACCGCUUUCGCCUGUGACGAAGGGUGAGUGACGGUAGUGGGUAAAGAAGCACCGGCUAACUACGUG